AUGAUCACACAGACUCAGCUACUCUGGCUCCUUGUCCUCUGCAUUCAGGACUCCAGCGGGCAGCUUGUGCUGACUCAGACUCCGGAAUCCCUGGAGGUGUCUCCAGGAGACACAGUCACCGUGUACUGCAAAGCCAGUUCCAGUGUUACCAGCAACUUCAUGGCCUGGUACCAACAGAAAUCAGGACAAGUUCCUAAGCUCCUUAUCUACGGUGCUUCCACCCGUGCCUCUGGGAUCCCAGACCGGUUCAGUGGCAGUGGGUCUGGCACGGACUUCACUUUUACAAUCAGCCGGGUUGAAGCUGAUGAUGCUGGAGAUUAUUACUGCCAGCAACAUAGCAGCUCUCUUCUCACACAGUGA